AAGCAAGCUUUCUACAUUUGGUCAUCCUUUUCUGAGCAACAGAGUGAGCUUCUAAUAUUUCUCUUUUCUAACAUAAACAGGAACUUGUGGCUAUCGACGUUAUCAGAACGUCAGUUCAAGGUCAUCCUAUCGCACGACUUGCAGGAAGUGACAUCAAAUUAAACGUAAUCCAAGCUGACAGCAUUUUCUUCUUGGAUGUUCGGCAGACUUUUGAGACACAAAAUUUGACAUCGAAUUCCAAACCAGCAGUGAUGUUGCUGUCCGUUCUCUCACUGACCUGCGUUGCCUCCAUUGUUGAUUUGAGCGAUGCAGUUUCUGUUACUCAACGGUAUCUUUCGUUAACGCAGACAGAGGGAAAAGAUGUCACGUUAAAUUGCACCUACUCUGAAGAUGGUUAUUACUUGUACUGGUACCGUCAGUACUCAGGCAGAGAGCCAGAGUUUGCAGUUCGGAGGCACACGGGUGGUGGUGCUGACGUGAAGGCAGAUUUCGCUCAGACCCGGUUUUCUGAUACCCUCCAGAAGACAGAGAAGUUGUACCAAUUGACCAUCUCGCAGCUUCUGCUGUCUGACACCGCCGUCUAUUACUGUGCAAUAAGCCUCACAGUGACAGAAAGGAGUGAAAGCCUUGUACAAUAA